ACUCAAAGGAAUAGACGGGGGCCCGCACAAGCGGAGGAACAUGUGGUUUAAUUCGAUGAUACGCGAGGAACCUUACCCGGGCUAGAACGCAUUAGGAAUAUAUGGGAAACUGUAUAGCCGGUUAAACGGUCUAUUGCGAGGUGCUGCAUGGUUGUCGUCAGCUCGUGCCGUGAGGUGUCGGCUUAAGUGCCAUAACGAGCGCAACCCUUAUUGUUAGUUGCCAGCGGGUAAUGCCGGGGACUCUAGCAAAACUGCCGGCGUAAGCUGUGAGGAAGGGGGGGAUGACGUCAAAUCAGCACGGCCCUUACGUCCGGGGCGACACACGUGUUACAAUGGGGGGUACAGAGGGUUGCUACCACGCGAGUGGAUGCUAAUCCCGAAAGCCUCUCUCAGUUCGGAUCGAAGUCUGCAACUCGACUUCGUGAAGCUGGAUUCGCUAGUAAUCGCGCAUCAGCCAUGGCGCGGUGAAUACGUUCCCGGGCCUUGCACACACCGCCCGU
rnacentral:rRNA from 1 species